GGCUACAGCGUUGCGGUCCGGACAGAGCAAAAAAAACAAGGCAUCAGUAUUGUUGAGUAUUAGCUUGUACCUGGUUCGGAGGCUAAGCCCAGGCCCAAGUUGGGGGAGGGUGUCAUCUGGCCUGGUCCCGGACCCCGGAGUUUCAGGCCUGAGCGCUCGCACCACGGAGUUCUGGGGGAGACUUGGGGAGAUCAGGGCAGACUGGUCUUUCUGAAGCCUGAUCAGAGGUGGCGUUCACCAGUUCACCACGUCUCUCCUUUCCUCGUCGCACUUUCCAGAUCCCGGUCAGCCAGUCAGGGCACCGUGGUUUGGUGGAGUGAGAAGCGGGCGCGCCAGCGGUGGCUGCCGGGCUGAGCGCGGGCGCUGGAGUUUGGACCAAGACAAAGACGGGAGCUGUCCGCGGUGCUGAUCCCGCCGCGCCGCCAAGGGGCAAACGGGCUCUUGGAACCUGCCCUCUCCCUCUUUACCCCGUCCUUUUGUCUUUCCUUUAUUCUGUGAUUUUCUCCCUCUCCUACGUUUAUUUCCCCCCUUUUGUCUUUCCUUAGAACCCGAGCCCUGUACAGGUAUAUAUCAAAGAACAAAACAAUUGACUAAAAACGGUGUCUUCUCCUUUCUU
rnacentral:lncRNA from 1 species